rnacentral:rRNA from 1 species
GUAAUACGGAGGGUGCAAGCGUUAAUCGGAAUUACUGGGCGUAAAGCGCACGCAGGCGGUCUGUCAAGUCGGAUGUGAAAUCCCCGGGCUCAACCUGGGAACUGCAUUCGAAACUGGCAGGCUAGAGUCUUGUAGAGGGGGGUAGAAUUCCAGGUGUAGCGGUGAAAUGCGUAGAGAUCUGGAGGAAUACCGGUGGCGAAGGCGGCCCCCUGGACAAAGACUGACGCUCAGGUGCGAAAGCGUGGGGAGCAAACAGGAUUAGAUACCCUGGUAGUCCACGCCGUAAACGAUGUCGACUUGGAGG